rnacentral:SRP_RNA from 1 species
GUAAAAUAAAUAAGCUAUAACGUUACAGUCCUCCGCAUGCAGCUGCGGAGCCGGUCUCGCGCAAUGGAUGCCCGCGAAUCAUGUCAGCCGGGAGACCGAGCCGCAUUAAGCGGGAUGUUCCAUGUGCCGCGAGGGCGCCGGUUCCGCAGCUGCAUGCGGAGGACUUUUUUC